CCCCAGUAGGCCGGGCUGGAGCCAUCAUGGGCUCUACUUGUUGCACCUGAAACAAUGAAAUAUUUAUCAAAAUAUCUCAGUUGAUUUUUCCCUCGUAAUUAAGGCAGGGUUAAGAAGGUGGAUUCCUCACUUUCUCCAGCCAAAGUUAUCUGAACACAAAGGCUGGCCUCUUGGUGGAGAGAGUUACAUGGAAACCCCUCUGGCGUGUUGAGCAAUGACCUGGCACAAGUCAGUCCCUGCUGGAACCCAGCCCAAAACUCCAUUGGCGAGAGGCAAAGGCUCCCUGCCCCCUGCAAUGAGACCUACUCUCCCCAGGACUUCGCAGCACCUCAACGCCCUGCUGUACUGACCAAGGCCUGAAAGGCCCUCCUCACUGCCAUGCCCCGAGAGGCCCACUUUGCCCAUCUGAGGCCCCUACUCUCCAAUCCUUAAUGAAGAUAAAUUCUCACUGCCAUUACUGAAGCACACAAGGAAAGCUAGGUUUAAAUAUAAAAUUCUGGGUCAGUGAGUUGGCCUGCUUCAUUCUUUUCACAUAUCCCAGGCCACAAACGAAAAGAGACAAAUUUCUCUGCAUCUCCGUUGCUCUAAGAAUUUACAUUGAACUGGUGGUGGGGGAAAGGUGGAAGUUUGGGGAGGAAGAAGGUGUUCUGGAAGUUUCUUCAUGCUGUGGUUACAUGAAGUGAAGAAGGCAGAAUAUUCCCCAAACCAACUUGGUGUCCACAGGGCCAAUGCCAUUGCCGUGGGGUUCUCUAGCUCCCCCAAGAUGGGCAGAAGCUGGGGAAGGUCCUUGUAUGAGGCCAGGAGGACUGCCUGGUGGUGCCAGGAACAGAGCCUUCAGCAGGGAUGCCAGAGGGCCAGGCGGAGGCUCAGAGACAAAUGAAGCCAGCCUGGAUCAGCUGCCCGCUGGCCCAUCUGCAGACUUGGGAGCUAAGCUAAGAAGUGUUUACUGUUGUGUUACUGUAUCUGGCUGAAGAACUAUGGUUGUUUGUUACACAGCAUCAGUAUGGCCACAGCUAACUAAUACACAGGCCGAAAAACAGACCCUACCUCCUAGAGUUCUAGGGAGGAUUCAAUAAAAACAAUCCACAUAAAAUCCUUAGACAAGAGUUUCAGUUGGGGAAGAUGAAAAAUUUGUGGAAAUGGGUGGUGGUGAUGGUUGCACAAUAAUGUGAAUAUAUUUAAUGCUGCUGAACCACACACUUAUAAAUGGCUAAAAUGGUAAAUUUUAUGUUAUGUGUAUUUUAGCACAAUUAAAAAAUACCACAUAGUGCCUGGCA
rnacentral:lncRNA from 1 species